UACGGAGGGUGCAAGCGUUAAUCGGAAUUACUGGGCGUAAAGGGUGCGUAGGUGGUUUAAUAAGUUAUCUGUGAAAUACCUGGGCUUAACCUGGGCAGGUCAGAUAAGACUGUUAGACUAGAGUAUGGGAGAGGGUAGAGGAAUUUCCGGUGUAGCGGUGAAAUGCGUAGAGAUCGGAAGGAACACCAGUGGCGAAGGCGUCUACCUGGCCUAAUACUGACACUGAGGCACGAAAGCGUGGGGAGCAAACAGG
rnacentral:rRNA from 1 species